CCGAGUGCCGGGGCCUAGCCCCGCUCUCCCACCCUGUGCAGUGUAACGAGCGAGGUGGCCGCGCCCAGCGCGCCGGCCGCCCCCCAAAAGACCCUGAGAUGGACUUUGCUCUGAUGGUUUUGAGAAAUCAAAUGA
rnacentral:misc_RNA from 1 species